GAUCAUGGCUCAGGACGAACGCUGGCGGCGUGCUUAACACAUGCAAGUCGAACGAGAAUCUGCGGAAAGAGGAUUCGUCCAAUUGAAGCAGAGGACAGUGGCAGACGGGUGAGUAACGCGUGAGGAACCUGCCGUUUCAGAGGGGGACAACAGUUGGAAACGACUGCUAAUACCGCAUGACACAUAGGUGUCGCAUGGCACUUAUGUCAAAGAUUUAUCGCUGAAAG
rnacentral:rRNA from 1 species